rnacentral:rRNA from 1 species
UCAGGUAGUAGUUCGGGUUCCGGGGGGAGUAUGGUCGCAAGGACCGAAACUUAAAGGAAUUGACGGAAGGGCACCACCAGGAGUGGAAUCUGCGGCUUAAUUUGACUCAACGCGGGAAAACUCACCAGGUCAGGACACGGUAAGGAUUGACGGACUGAAGGCUUCUUUCUCGAUUCCGUGGAAAGUGGUGCAUGGUCCGUUUUUGGUUGGUGGAUCGAUCCGUCUGGUUAAUUCCGUUAACGAACGAGACCUCGGCACUCCGAAUAGCGCGGCGGACGUCGCGGCCUCCGGGCCGUCUUCCGCACGAGCUUCUUAGAGGGGACCGUCCCCCGCCGGGGGAAGGAGGUGCGAGGCAACGACAGGUCUGUGAUGCCCUUAGAUGUUCUGGGCCGCACGCGCAUUACACUGACGCGUCCAACGGGUGACUCCCGACCCGAAGGGGCCGGGGAAUCCGCAAGGCGCGUCGUGAUGGGGAUUGAACGUUGCAAUUGUUGUUCACGAACGAGGAAUUCCUAGUAGGCGCGGGUCAUCAACCCGCGCCGAUUACGUCCCUGCCCUUUGUACACACCGCCCG